UGGGGAAUUUUGGACAAUGGGCGAAAGCCUGAUCCAGCAAUGCCGCGUGUGUGAAGAAGGCCUUCGGGUUGUAAAGCACUUUUGUCCGGAAAGAAAUCCUUGGCUCUAAUACAGUCGGGGGAUGACGGUACCGGAAGAAUAAGCACCGGCUAACUACGUGCCAGCAGCCGCGGUAAUACGUAGGGUGCAAGCGUUAAUCGGAAUUACUGGGCGUAAAGCGUGCGCAGGCGGUUUGCUAAGACCGAUGUGAAAUCCCCGGGCUCAACCUGGGAACUGCAUUGGUGACUGGCAGGCUAGAGUAUGGCAGAGGGGGGUAGAAUUCCACGUGUAGCAGUGAAAUGCGGUAGAGAUGUGGAGGAAUACCGAUGGCGAAGGCAGCCCCCUGGGCCAAUACUGACGCUCAUGCACGAAAGCGUGGGGAGCAAAACAGGAUUAGAUACCCUGGUAGUCCACGCCCUAAAACGAUGUCAACUAGUUGUUGGGGAUUCAUUCCUUAGUAACGUAGCUAACGCGUGAAGUUGACCGCCUGGGGAGUACGGUCGCAAGAUUAAAACUCAAAGGAAUUGACGGGGUCAUAGCUG
rnacentral:rRNA from 1 species